CUGGGUGGUUUAAGCAACAGGAAUGAAUUUUCUCACAGUUCUGGAGGAUGAAAGUCUGAGAUAAAGGUGCCAGCAGGGUUGGUGUCUGGGGAGGCCUCUCAUCCCAGCUUGUAGAUGGCUGCCUUCUUGCCGCGUCUUCAGACGGCCUUUCUUCUCUGUGUGUGGCGAGAGGGAGAGGUCUCUGGUGUCUCUCCCUCUUCUUAUAAGGAGACACCUAUCUCAUUGGAUUAGGGCCCCACCUUCAUGACCUUAUUUAACUUUAAUUACCUUCCCCAAACCCCACCUCCAACUACAAAACUGGGAUUAAGGCCUCAAAAUAUGAAUUUUGGGGCAACACAAUUCAGUCCAUAACAGAGAGAGUUAUUGGAACUGUACUUUUACUUUCUGCAAGCUGAGUGGAUGUGAACAAACUAUUCAUAGAGUGAGGGAUGUUUCCCAGGAGGAGUUACAGAGGUCGCAGGGGCUCUGGUGCAGCCAAGUGAUCAACAGAGGACAUGAUCGCUCCUGUGAGAACCUAGGAUCGCCCCCUAGACUGGGAAGCCAGAGACUUCCGGUGAGAGCCUCAUUGCUGUCCAGCACCGUGAAUAACAGGGGUUCAGUGGAGGCAAGCUGUUUCCUGUUGAAUCAGUGUAUCCAUCUGUCUCUCCUUAUAUCCCUUUGGUUAUAUAAUUGACUCUUGAUAGUGAGAGACCCUGGCACUUAUAUGCUUAAGGAUACCUGAUUUAGUUCCGGAAAGUGUCUUUUUAAAGACAGAGUCUAAUGCAGAAAACAUAAAGGCGAAUUCUGAUAACCCUCUGUACACAGAAACUUAAAUCGCUGCAAGAUCAAUAUUAAGGACUCUAAAAAACCUGCAACAUUAAGAAAACCAAAAGGUUAGUGUCUUUAAAACCUCCUCCCUAAAGUUUGAAAGAUAGACAAAGUUGAUUCAUAAAAUAUGAAACGCAAAUAAAUGUAUGAAAAUAUGUUUAAACUUGGAAGUAAGCACUCUUAUACACUGCUCAUGGGAGUACAAAUGGUUAAAACAAACUUAGUAAUAGGUACCAAAAUUAUGUACCUUUAGAUCUUGUAUCUUCAAUAAUAACAUUUUGUCCAAAACAAAUGAUCAGAGAGAUGUAUGCAGAGAAAUCUGUGGAAGAAUGUUCAUAGUUGUGUUAUUUACAUUGAUGAAGAAUUGUAAAUAACUUAUAAUUCCAUGAAAUGUUUAUGUGGUAAAAUACUAUGCAGUUAUUGACAAUUAUAUUUUAAUGAAUUGGAAAUAGUCCAGUGACAUAAGUUUGUUAAAAAAAAUAAAAGAGAACACACAGUUUGCAGAAACACUGCCUGUAAGAGAAAAAAGUAGCAAACUGACUUCAUGAAAAUUAAAACAGUAUUCUCAUUUUUUAAAAAGUUACUAAAAUAAAAAGGCAUGCUGUAGACUGAGAGAAAAUAACCACAAUACAUAUAUCUGACAAGUGCUACAACUUAAUAAUGGAAAGAAAACCGACCUAAUACAGAAUGGGCACAAGACUUGGAUAUUUCAAGACACAGGAGUGGCCAGUGUGUUCCUGACAAGGGACUCUAUAUCAGUCGUCAUCAGGUAACAGUAAAUGAUAACCACAAUAAAAUACCACAAGACACACACUGGACUGGCUGAAAUUAAAAUGACCAAUGAUGUUAAAUAUUGGCAAAGAUAUGGAACUAUUGAACUCAUAUACACUGCUGGUGGUACACUGUAUAACUAUUUUGGAAAGCUGUUUGACAGUUGCUUAUAAAUUUACACUUGCCUUAUGACCUAGCAAUUCCAUUGCUAGGAUUACUCAAGAGAAACAAAAUUAUAUGUCUACAGAAAGACUGUUCUUUACAAUAUUGUAAAUAUUCUUUACAAGGAAGACUAUUCUGUACAAGAAUAUUCUUAGAAGAUUUAUGCAUAAUAACCCAAGACUGGCAGCAAAUGUUCACCAGCAGGAAAGUAGAAAAACAAAUUGUGAUAUAUGUCCAUGAACUAGAGUAUUACUCAGCAGUAAAAGGAAAUGAACUACUGAUAAAAGCAACAAACUGGAUGUAUCUCAAAAAUAUUAAGUUGAGCAAAAGCAGUCAGAUACAAAGACAACGUAGGUUUGAUUCCAAAUAUGUGAAGUUCAAGGACUGGCAAAACCAGUCUAUGGUGAUAAAAAUCAGAAUAAUGGUUGCCUCUGUGUGAAGGGCAGUAGACUGGAAAAGGGCCUGAGGAACUUUCAGCAAUGAUGGAAUUGUUCUCUUGAUUGAAGUGAAAAUUAUAUGGGUUUAUAAAAUGAUCAUAACUCAUGGAGCUGUACACUUAAAUACAACUUAUCAUUUAUAAAUUAAAAGUCAAUUUUUAAAAAAAGGACUCAAAAUUAUACAGUCCAGAUAGGUGAGUCCAGUGGGCAUGAUGCUAAAAUUUUCUUUUAGGUGAGAUCCCAUAGAGACCAUUCACUAUUAUUGACUCUGUGUUUUCUCUGCAGUGAAGAUGGAAGCAUAGACAUAUGAUCAUCCAAUCCACCUGGUUCCAGUUGCACUGAAAAUGACAUCAUCAAGAUUGCGUCACGAAUCGAUCCUACGUCAGUCCUCCCAGGAAGACCCGCUCGCAGCUACCCACAGGCGGGACGCCGCUGUGAGAGCCCCGGAAGCCAGGCCGGUGGAAGCUCCGCCUGGGCGGCCAAGGCCGAGCGGGACCGCGUGUGAAGGAGUACCCGUCUUCGUAUGACAUCCUCUGCGAAGAGGACGGUAUAUUCUGAUGAUGUGCCCACUCCCAUUCAGAAGCGGGGCCUGCUCCGCCUGGUCCGUCACGUGAGCACAGAAGUAGAGCGCAUACUCGUCUUACUCCCACGGCCACCUUACCUGGAACAGAGGUCUAAGUCUUAUUGUUUCUAUUGCUUUUUCUUGCUUGGGAAUACAAAAUGCAGUAACACUAGGAAAUAAAGCCCUGAGGCAGUUGGCAGGUGCUGACUUGUGACUUUUUGUUUUUUAUGCCAGAACUUGCCAUUCAUAAACACACUGGUGUUUGCUCCCCUUUCCUAACCUGCCAGUGAGAUGAGGUCAUAUGGAUCCUUGUGGCUGCAAAGGACUGUCUAUGACACUGCUUUUGCCCGUCAUAUUUACUAUCAGGCCCUUUACAGAAAAUGUUUGCCAACCCCUGCCUUAACCCAUCAUUGUUCUUUACUGACAUGUAACUUCAAAAGAGAUUCAGGAAUACAGGGCUGUCCAACCUCCCUUCAAAUGACACUGAAGUGAUACUUUUUAGUCUGUUUUCUGGUUUAAUUUUAUGUCUUCAUCC